rnacentral:lncRNA from 13 species
UAAUUGGUUGGGUAGAUGUGUGGUUAGUGGGUCUGAUUGGUUGGGUAGAUGUGUGGGUGGGUAAAGUGGGUCUGAUUGGUUGGGUAGAUGUGUGGGUAAAGUGGAUCUGAUUGGUUGGGUAGAUGUGUGGUUAGUGGGUCUGAUUGGUUGGGUAGAUGUGUGGGUAAAGUGGGUCUGAUUGGUUGGGUAGAUGUGUGGGUAAAGUGGAUCUGAUUGGUUGGGUAGAUGUGUGGUUAGUGGGUCUUCAGGGUCAUGGUGUGUAGUGUACUGUAUUCCUAACAGGGUAAUAUGAUAAGAGAGUUAUUAGUCUUAGUUUUCUGCACACUAUAGAGAUGACGAUGAACAGAGUCCAUUAAAUAAUGCAGUAUGAAAUGCAUAACUAACCCUAUUCUGCGGAGGGUUUGGAUCCAUUCCAUUUCAAUUCAGUCAAUUUAGGAAGUAAAAACUGUUUACUUUCUGAAUGAAUGAAUUGAAAUGGAAUGGACCCCAACCCUGAUGUCUGUUAACUACCAACCCCAAACCUCAUGUCAGUUCAUCCUGUCUGUGUUAACUACCAACCCCAAACCUCACGUCAGUUCAUCCUGUUUGUUAUCUACCAACCCCAAACCUCAUGUCAGUUCAUCCUGUCUGUUAUCUACCAACCCCAAACCUCAUGUCAGUUCAUCCUGUCUGUUAACUACCAACCCCAAACCUCAUGUUACAGAUCAACUUGUUUACAUGUCGUUUUUGAGGUUUAUUCUGAUUCAUGGGAAAGAUGUGAAAACGUGACGAUGUCACGGAUUUAGGUCGUCUUUUGAUAAUCCAUGACGCGUCAAUCACUGUCUUUUUAUGGAUUUAGUGAUAAUCAACUGUUUCAGGGGCACCGACAAAAAUACAACGUCAUAUUAUAGAUGAAAUGUGGAAAUUGGUUGACGUGCUUUGAUUGGUCAAGAUGAGUUCAUGACGACGAGGGCGUCACGGGUUGAAAGAGGAAUGGCUGUUGCCCUGGAGUUGGAGGAGAGUGACGUUGGCAUUAGACGCUGACCCUGGGUCAGUUUAACAUUUCCCCAAACAUAUGGUUAAUGCUAGGAAUGGGGGAAGGGGAAGCUGAUCCUACAUCAGUAUCCUGUACCUAGGGGAAUCUUCACCUUCAUGGGAGCUGUUGCCCAUUGGAUGUUCUGCCUCCUCCCUUCUUCUGCUUUUCAUAACCAGUGUAGAAACAAACCUGCUGUCCCUCCCGCUCGGCAAGACCACCGCCUCACCCCGCCUCCACAACGCUAAGCCCCGCCUCCACAACACUAAGCCCCGCCUACCCCUUCUCCUCUGCUUAGCAUAUAAAGUGGAACACAGUCAGUGUGUACUGUGAAGCCUACCGCAAUCCUUAUCAGAAUGUCAAGAAUAAAUAAAUAUAUAUUAAACUCUACAUUUUUAAUAACCCCACCUGGUCCGUGUGGUUCUAUGUGUGUGUGUGUGUGUGUGUGUGUGUGUGUGUGUGUGUGUGUGUGUGUUUGUGUUUGUGUGUGUGUGUGUGUGUGUGUGUGUGUGUGGACGUGUUUAGCUCUUCUUGUCGGGACCAGAAGUCACCACAAGAAUUGUAAACAAACAACAAUUUGACCAACUGAGGACAUUCUUUUGGUCCCCACAAGGUCAGAUGCUGUUUCGAGAGGGUUUAGGGUUCAGGUUAGAAUUAGUGUUAGGGUUCAAAUUAGGUUAAGGCUCAGGGUUAUGAGCUAGCAUUAGUUUUAACCUCAGCAUUAGGUGCUAGGAUUCGUUAUAGGGUUAAGGUUAGGUUUUUGGCUUAAGGUUAGGGUUAAGGUUAGGGUAAGGUUAGGGUUAGGGUAAGAGUACAGGUUAGGGUUAGGGGUUAGGGAAUAUCAGAUUCUGAAUGGUACUGAACCCUGGAUGGUGUUGUAUGUUUAUUCUCCAGUAGAGGACAGCCUUGCUUCAGAUACCACUGAACAUCCUACAACCUCCACUUCCUGUUAAACACGUGUCGUCUCUGAGCUUCCCAGUCAUUCAGCUAUUGGUCAGUAUAUCCCCUGUAGCUGUCUCUCAAUCAGAGCCUCAGUCAGGUUCUGACAUCAUCAGCUUCAACCCAGAGCCAUCUUCUUUUCUACCUGUCCAUGUCAGAGAGAGAGAACAGGUAUUUUCUACANNNNNNNNNNGAAAGAUGUGAAAACGUGACGAUGUCACGGAUUUAGGUCGUCUUUUGAUAAUCCAUGACGCGUCAAUCACUGUCUUUUUAUGGAUUUAGUGAUAAUCAACUGUUUCAGGGGCACCGACAAAAAUACAACGUCAUAUUAUAGAUGAAAUGUGGAAAUUGGUUGACGUGCUUUGAUUGGUCAAGAUGAGUUCAUGACGACGAGGGCGUCACGGGUUGAAAGAGGAAUGGCUGUUGCCCUGGAGUUGGAGGAGAGUGACGUUGGCAUUAGACGCUGACCCUGGGUCAGUUUAACA